AGAAGAAAUUCUUUUGGAUUUUCAUGGGGAGAAACCAAGAAGAGUUCUUCAGAAACUCAGAUUUAAAAAUUCCUUUUCUAGAGAAUUAAAAUAUAUUAAUAACAGAUUUGACUUUAGAUAAAUGUCACACUCCAGUAAAGAGACUUUAAGAAUUACUCAGUAAUCAAACCAUGUGAAUUCAAUGGUCUAUAUGCUUGGAAUCUUAAGAAAUUACUGAUGAUGACAUUGGCUGUCUCGGUUUUAGGAACCGCCAGAAAUAGCCACUAACCAAGAGAAAGAGAGCAAGGACUAGCCCUGAAUAAUUGGUCAACAAUGCUGAUUUCGUUGGUUUCCUGUUCCUUUUGCUUCCUGGAAAAUACAGACCUACAAAGCAAACAUUGUGUGUGGGUUGAUGCUACAGCAUCGUCUGAACUUGGAAGGAUGAUCGUGGAUUCUGAUGCCUCGUGGUCUCACUACAGGUCUAAUUUUCAUGUGUUUUAGGAGUCUUGGGAUUAGGUUAUGAACUCUGACUCUGGGCAAAUGGAAAC